rnacentral:ncRNA from 2 species
AGAAUCACAAAGGGGAGCCUGUCUGGGCUGAGAUUGAAUAUUAUUUCUAAACCCUUCGUACCUGUUUCGGUCAUGCGAACGUAGGAAUUGUGACGAGUAGUAGA